CCAACAGGGAUUGCCUCAGUAACGGCGAGUGAAGCGGCAACAGCUCAAAUUUGAAAUCUGGCUUUGGCCCGAGUUGUAAUUUGUAGAGGAUGCUUAGGGUGUGGUUCGGUCUAAGUUCCUUGGAACAGGACGUCAUAGAGGGUGAGAAUCCCGUAUGUGACCGGUAACCUUCGCCCGUGUUAAGCUCCUUCGACGAGUCGAGUUGUUUGGGAAUGCAGCUCUAAAUGGGUGGUAAAUUUCAUCUAAAGCUAAAUACCGGCCAUAGACCGAUAGCGCACAAGUAGAGUGAUCGAAAGAUGAAAAGCACUUUGGAAAGAGAGUUAAACAGUACGUGAAAUUGUUGAAAGGGAAGCGCUUGCAACCAGACUUGUGCGUAAUCUUCAUCUGGUGCUUGCACCAGUGCAUUUGAUUGCGUUCAGGCCAGCAUCAGUUCUGGCGGUUGGAUAAAGGUCCUGGGAAUGUAGCUCCUCUCGGGGAGUGUUAUAGCCCAGGGCGUAAUGCAGCCAGCUGGGACUGAGGACCGCGCUUCGGCUAGGAUGCUGGCGUAAUGGUUGUAAGCGACCCGUCUUGAAACACGGACCAAGGAGUCUAACAUCUAUGCGAGUGUUUGGGUGUCAAACCCAUACGCGUAAUGAAAGUGAACGGAGGUGAGAGCUCUUAAGAGUGCAUCAUCGACCGAUCCUGAUGUCUUCGGAUGGAUUUGAGUAAGAGCAUAGCUGUUGGGACCCGAAAGAUGGUGAACUAUGCGUGAUUAGGGUGAAGCCAGAGGAAACUCUGGUGGAGGCUCGUAGGGGUGUAAGCAUAUCUAUCCAACCUACUUUAUUACGAAACAUGCUAACGAUAUUCCAGUCUGACGUGCAAAUCGAUCUCAAAAAUUGCGUAUAGGGGCGAAAGACGUAUGUUUACACCAACCACUUUUAUUGAAUACAACAAAUACUAACAUGUCGACAGUAAUCGAACCAU
rnacentral:rRNA from 1 species